CCUACGGGAGGCAGCAGUGGGGGAUAUUGCACAAUGGGGGAAACCCUGAUGCAGCGACGCCGCGUGUGGGAAGACGGUCUUCUGGAUUGUAAACCACUGUCGCCAGGGACGAAAAUGACGGUACCUGGGGAGGAAGCUCCGUCUCACGACGUGCCAGCAGCGGCGGUAAUACGUAGGGAGCAAGCGUUGUACGGAGUUACUGGGUGUAAUGGGAGCGUAGGCGGGGAUGCAAGUUGGGUGUAAAAACUACCGGCUCAACCGAUAGUCGCACUCAAAACUGCAGCUCGUGAGUGAAGGAGAGGCAGGCGGAAUUCCUAGUGUAGCGGUGAAAUGCGUAGAUAUUAGGAGGAACACCAGUGGCGAAGGCGGCCUGCUGGGCGUUUACUGACGCUGAGGCUCGAAAGUGUGGGGAGCAAACAGGAUUAGAUACCCGGGUAGUC
rnacentral:rRNA from 1 species